UACGUAGGUGGCAAGCGUUAUCCGGAUUUAUUGGGCGUAAAGGGAACGCAGGCGGUCUUUUAAGUCUGAUGUGAAAGCCUUCGGCUUAACCGGAGUAGUGCAUUGGAAACUGGGAGACUUGAGUGCAGAAGAGGAGAGUGGAACUCCAUGUGUAGCGGUGAAAUGCGUAGAUAUAUGGAAGAACACCAGUGGCGAAAGCGGCUCUCUGGUCUGUAACUGACGCUGAGGCGCGAAAGCGUGGGGAGCAAACAGG
rnacentral:rRNA from 1 species